CAUUAAGAAGCUAAAAUUCAAGCGUUAACCUUUUAAGUUAAAGACUGAGAGCUCAAUUCUCUCCUUAAUGA
rnacentral:tRNA from 1 species